CCUACGGGUGGCAGCAGUGGGGAAUCUUCCGCAAUGGGCGAAAGCCUGACGGAGCAACGCCGCGUGAUCGAAUGAAGGCCUUCGGGUUGUAAAGAUCUGUUGACAGGGACGAAUAAGCCAUGCGAAUAGUUUGGUGUAUGACGGUACCUGUUUAGAAAGCUCCGGCUAACUACGUGCCAGCAGCCGCGGUAAUACGUAGGGAGCAAGCGUUAUCCGGAUUUACUGGGUGUAAAGGGAGCGUAGACGGCAGUGCAAGUCCGGAGGGAAAGCCCGGGGCUCAACCCUGGGACUGCUCUGGAAACUGUAAAGCUGGAGUGCGGGAGGGGCAGGCGGAAUUCCUGGUGUAGCGGUGAAAUGCGUAGAUAUCAGGAGGAACACCGGCGGCGAAGGCGGCCUGCUGGACCGUAACUGACGUUGAGGCUCGAAAGCGUGGGGAGCAAACAGGAUUAGAUACCCCAGUAGUC
rnacentral:rRNA from 1 species